UGUAGAAAGCUGCUUUUUGAGAUCCAGUUCUCUGAUAUACCUACCUUUAAAUUACCGUGUGUUUUAGUGUAGGAAUACUCACAAACUUGGUCUGCCAUAAAGGCUGUAUUUCUCCCCUUGUGCUUACCACUCUCUCCAUCAACCUUUGUUAUUUUUCUUGAACAAUCUUUCAGUUGUAUGUUUUCACCUGUAGGCAGAUCCACCUCCACUCCCAGCAACCGACCACCUCACUUUUCCAUCCUUCAGCAGGUUUCCUCUGUGGCUGCUGGAUCUCGCACGCACUCCUUGGAAGAGCAGGCAGGCAUCUUACCCGGUUGCCUUCAUACGUGGGCACCGCUCCGUGGAAAGUUUGAAAUAAAUUCUCAGUGAUCCCCAAACUGUUUCAUAUUCAAGUCAAACCGAAACGUGCGUGCUUGAAUAUUGCUCCCCUGCCACCCACUUGCAACCCAGGCUCUGAACACAGCCUCCCGUCUGAAAGUCAGCGUGGGCUGUGCCUGCUCCGUGCCCAGACAGAGCUAGAAGAACGCCAGUUCCUGCUUCCACGCUGUGUUGGUUUUGCUAGGCAAACAGGCACAAAGUCUAUCAAAGCUUGCACAGCAACAGCUCUGAACGCAGCUAGGUAGUCCAGCCACUGAGACAGGGCUUUUAUGGUCAUUUUUCAAGGAAAAGUGCUCUUUAAAAAUGUUAAGAGACUGCAUGAUGAACAUAAUGUGGGAGCUGAGGCAAAGAAGAAAAAAAUAAAAAUAAAAAAUCUUAGCAGUAUGUUAAACUCAUGCAGUACUUUCUAUCUGCAGUGUGAGAAGAUAGAAAGUAUUGCAGCUAGAUCCAGUAAGACUGAUAUCUGUGCAGGACAGAUAAGACAUUUAUUUCCAAUCAAAACAUUUUACAAACCUUUCUCAGAGGCAGCUAGCUUCCUGCACUAGCUAAAAGUAAAAAUAAAAUAAAAAAGAGGAUUCAUGGAAAGCGUAAGAAUAAAACAUUCAAAGAUUUCUAGUUGUUCAGUAAUUGUAAAGAGCAUGUUUCACUAACUUUUUUUGAACUCUUUUAGAAGAGCCCAAUGAAUUCCUGUUGUCUCUGUACAGGUAUCUGCUUGGAAAAAAAUAUAUAUAUAUAUUAAUAAAUGAACAGUAUUGCAAGAACCCAUCCAUGAAAGCUCCCUUGGAACUGCUCUGCAGAAUGAAUGGGCACAUCAGAAGCACAAAACCAACAGUAUGUGUCAGCCCUCCAUACCAUCCACAGAACCGGGAGCUUUUUAGAUGUGCCAGCCUCAGGCUUCGUGUUCCUUACGGCAUGCACGACAUGGAAGUAAGAGAGCAUCAAGCACCCAUCAUGACUGAGAACAGCGUAUUUUAGUGAUACUGGUAUGACCAAAAUGUAACUGCUGAUCAAUGCCAAUUAGCUAGAAUAAUCCUGUUAGCAUUAGCUCAACUGUUCAUUUAUCUCUGCAACGCUAAUUGUGUUUGAAGUUCUUUCUAACACUGACUCCUUUUGUACUGCAAUGAAAGCCUGCAAAAACACUCAUCAAUUGAACAGCUGAUACAGUGAACAACCCCCUUCUUUUUUGUUUUGUUUAACUCUUUGGAAUCCUAAGUGUGAUAAAAGUACCACUGGAUAUUGAUUGUAUCAUAUAUUGCCCAAGUUUAUAGUUUUAAUCUAUUUUACAGUAACUAUUAUCCUUCUGCCAUAACAAGAUGUGUAUCUUAUCAAACACCAAGUCUUACUGGUUGUUGCAAGUGUAUAUUCCUCUAAGAAAACAAACAAGAAUACCCCAAA